AGUACUCGAGUGGCGAACGGGUGAGUAACACGUGGGUAAUCUGCCCCGCACUCUGGGAUAAGCCUGGGAAACUGGGUCUAAUACUGGAUAUGACCUUUCUCCUUAUGGGGUUUGGUGGAAAGUUUUUCGGUGUAGGAUGAGCCCGCGGCCUAUCAGCUUGUUGGUGGGGUGAUGGCCUACCAAGGCGACGACGGGUAGCCGGCCUGAGAGGGUGAUCGGCCACAUUGGGACUGAGAUACGGCCCAG
rnacentral:rRNA from 1 species